rnacentral:lncRNA from 1 species
AACUUGAUCUGACCAAAAAGAUCUCCAGAUUCAGCAUGAAGUGACUGAGGCUUUACCCUGUAGUGCAGAAAUUGAGAGUCAAUGAAAGGGGCACAUUUCUUCCUUUCUGGGUGGACAUCAGGGGUGCGCACUUCCUCUCAGCAUCCUAGGUUGUACCAUAUACCAUGAAACCAUUGGUUGAACAAGAGGUUUCCUGGGAGAAAAUGGCUUUGUAAAUUGUGAUACCUCCAAUGAGUUCUUCAAGGGUUAAGGUUUUGCAUUGGGACAAUGACCACCCACCUCAAAGAAGGUCACAAAUCCUUAUAACUUAAUUGUCUUCAAGAGUUUCUGUAACCAACAACUCCAUUACCAUGUUCCUGACCUGGAAGUGAGUCUCUCCAAACUCAGAAUUUUGCUGAUUAUACCACAGACGCUUCUCAAUAUUCUUCUUCUGCCCCUGAAGAAUACUCCUUUGUGCUAAGUAAAAAUACUUAAGUAAAAACAUCCUAUACAACAACCGUGUGCAUCAGUAUAUAUCGGAUAUCUUCCCACCCCUAAAAAAAUCUCUGAGAGCUUAAGAGUGAGCUAAGACUUUGGGGACAUCCCAUGCAAUAUUCCUCACCUGUAUUCUCUGACCUCUCUAUGGAGAUAAGAAUUCUACUAACUUUAGAAAAGUGUUUUCAAACUUAAACUAUACUACAAGUCAAUUGAUGCCAAAUACUCCUCCGUUGAAGACUUCUCCAUAGUUUCUGUGAGGCAACUAUUGGUGACUGAUAAGGGGAAUUGAAAUAUAGAAAAAGAAUGGGCAAAAGUUGAGCAGAGCAGAAUGGAAAAAG